rnacentral:rRNA from 1 species
AGAGUUUGAUCAUGGCUCAGGACGAACGCUGGCGGCGUGCCUAACACAUGCAAGUCGAGCGGAGGUAUGAAGUAGUUUACUACAACAUACUUUAGCGGCGGACGGGUGAGUAACACGUGGGCAACCUGCCUCGAAGUGGGGGAUAACAUUGAGAAAUCAGUGCUAAUACCGCAUAACAUACACACAUCGCAUGGUGAGUGUAUCAAAGGAGAAAUCCGCUUUGAGAUGGGCCCGCGGCUGAUUAGCUAGUUGGUGAGGUAAUGGCUCACCAAGGCGACGAUCAGUAGCCGACCUGAGAGGGUGACCGGCCACACUGGAACUGAGACACGGUCCAGACUCCUACGGGAGGCAGCAGUGGGGAAUAUUGCGCAAUGGGGGAAACCCUGACGCAGCAACGCCGCGUGGAGGAAGAAGGUCUUCGGAUUGUAAACUCCUGUCUUCUGGGACGAUAAUGACGGUACCAGAGGAGGAAGCCACGGCUAACUACGUGCCAGCAGCCGCGGUAAUACGUAGGUGGCGAGCGUUGUCCGGAAUUAUUGGGCGUAAAGGGCGCGUAAGCGGCUCUUUAAGUCAGAUGUGAAAACCCAGGGCUUAACUUUGGGAGUGCAUUUGAAACUGAAGGGCUCGAGUGCAGGAGAGGUAAGUGGAAUUCCUAGUGUAGCGGUGAAAUGCGUAGAUAUUAGGAGGAACACCAGUGGCGAAGGCGACUUACUGGACUGUAACUGACGCUGAGGCGCGAAAGCGUGGGGAGCAAACAGGAUUAGAUACCCUGGUAGUCCACGCUGUAAACGAUGGAUACUAGGUGUGGGAGGUAUCGACCCCUUCCGUGCCGCAGUUAACGCAAUAAGUAUCCCGCCUGGGGAGUACGGCCGCAAGGUUGAAACUCAAAGGAUUGACGG